CUCACCGUGUUCCCGGGGCUGUGUCUGGAGCCGGGAUGGUCCCAGCCUCCUGCCCCGGGACCCUGGUGUGGAUGGGACUGGUCCUGGUGGAGGUGGCGGCUCCACGGGGGGCGGCUUCGUGUCCCAGCGGCUGCCGGUGUUGUGGCCGUCCUCGGUGCAGUGCGGGAGGGCGGAGGGAACAGGAUUCCCCCUCCUCGAUCAGGUGGAGAGAGUCAACGUAACGGAACUGUACAUCGAGGGCCGACCGAAGCUGACGCAUCUCACCGCCGGCGACCUGAAGCACUACAGCAGGCUCCGGAAUCUGACCAUCACUAACUCGGGGCUGGUCAACAUUCAUGACGACUCCUUCAGCCACUGCCCGGAGCUGCAAUACAUAAACUUUUCAUCAAACCGGCUAACCCUCCCGUCGUGGAAACCCUUUCGUUCUCUCUCGACCUGCUGGAGCUGGUGCUACUGGCCAACCCGCUGCUCUGCUCCUGUCAGAUCCAAUGGCUCCGUCUGUGGCAACUCGCUGGCAGGGCCGGGCUGAACAACUCCAGCCUCAGCUGCCGGCAGUCUAGUGCAACCGUGAGCCUGGACAAGAUGCAGCUGACGGAAUGUGUGGCGGCCCAGGCCAGCGUCUCGGUGCGGAACAUGACGGUGAGCGCGGGGGGACAACGUGACGCUGGUUUGUCGCGGCUCCGGGAUCCCACCUCCCUCCGUCCGCUGGAACCUGGACUCGGUCCGAUCCCCACACUCCGUGCAG